AGAGAGAGACAUGCGCGCAUAUCAAUAAGCGGGAGGAAAAGAAACUAACUAGGAUUCCCUUAGUAACGGCGAGUGAAGCGGGAAGAGCUCAAAUUUGAAAUCUUCAAGGUUCUACCUUGACGAAUUGUAGUUUAAAGAAGUGUUUUCUGUUGGAGUUUUGGUAAAAGUUCUUUGGAAUAGGACAUCAUAGAGGGUGAGAAUCCCGUAUUUGACCAUUAUUUCCAACUUUGUGAUACACUUUCAAAGAGUCGGAUUGUUUGGGAAUGCAGUCCAAAAUGGGUGGUAAAUUUCAUCUAAAGCUAAAUACUGGCGAGAGACCGAUAGCGAACAAGUACCGUGAGGGAAAGAUGAAAAGAACUUUGAAAAGAGAGUUAAACAGUACGUGAAAUUGUCAAAAGGGAAGCGUUUGACACCAGUGUUGUUUUCUCGAAAAUCAAUUAAGAAUGGCAGGAUUUUGUGUUGUAUUGACUUUAUCAGCUUUCUGCACUUUUUUCUUGUCUUUUUUAAUGCACUUUUCGUUUAACAAGUCAACAUCAAUUUCUUUUGUUGUAAAAGGGUCAUUGGAAGGUGGCUUUCUUUUCGGAGAAAGUGUUUAUAGCCUUUGGCCUCUGCAAUCGGAGAGAUUGAGGUCUGCAGCGUAGAUCCUUCGGGGUUAGAUGCAUUUGUGCUAAGCUAUAGCCUUUCAUAGACAACUUGUUGACUAUGAUCAGUCAUGUAGCUUACUCGCUUAUGCUAUUUUACCUACGCUUAGGAUGUUGACAGCAGUAUAGACUGU
rnacentral:rRNA from 1 species